rnacentral:lncRNA from 1 species
GUUUCCUUCUUCUUUUAACUUGGUGUAGAAGGGAAUCAAAUCCCCGAUCUUGACUUUAUUAUCACUUCACUAUUUUACUCGGUCUCAACCACCACUUGAGCUAAAAAUCACCUUUCUUAACUGAGGCCAAGCAGCAUGAUCUUUGAAUAGGAUUGUACAUUCAUGCUCUUAAUUAUUUUCUUCAAAUACGGUUGAAGAAAAACAUGCUGGCCAUGAGAUUAAUCAAUAAAGCAUGUCAUCAGUUGACUCACUGGAGAAUGGUAGAAUCGUUGCUGCUGGUUCACAUGAUGCGUGUAUAUUUUCUCAAAGCGGUUAAUUCCUUUCUUGAUUUCUUUAUUUAUUUAUGUAAAGCAAUAAACAAGAUUCUAAUAAAAACUUACCCAAAAUCAGACGUUAGAACACUGUAAUUAUGAAAUCAUAUCAUAGAAUCUCUAGGAUGGUAAGUGAAUGAUUCUAUUUUUCUAAAUUUAGUAAUAGAAAAUCUCUUCUUAUUUUGAGUGAUAAAACUCUAAAAUUCGCAGCCACAAUAUUCUAUUGAAAUAACGUACCAUUUAGUUAAGACUGACUGUCUGUUUUCACAUUUUUGGCAAUUAUCCUUAAUAUUGAAAAAAUAAAUCUACAUUAAGCAAGCCAAUAAAAAUAAUAUAUAAAAAUAUGAAAAAUAUUUUUCCAACAAUCUCCCUUUUUUGUCUUAGUUUAAUUUCAAACACCAAUUUUUGUCUUAGUUAGAUCAGGAAGUUUAGAGAUCAGGAGGACAGAACCAGAGGCCAUCACUACUUUUUUGGUUUAUUUACACCAGGUGUCUUGGAAUCACAAUUGCACCUGUGGGAAGCAGCAGAUGCUGAAGCAUCCACAGCUUCAGUUUGGCCUGAAGGGAGGUCAGAACUCUACGUCUCUGGUGCAGCACUUGUAGGAUUAGUAGUGGCAUCUGGCGCAGUAGAAGUUCCUAUAGGUUCCUCAGGCUGAUACUCUGAAAAGCCUAAGGUACUUUCCAGCAACGUAUCCUUGAUCCGUCCAUCUCCAGGGUAUACAAGUUGCUCCAAUAUCCUGCGAAUCACUUUAAAAGCAUCAACAAACAUUUGAGUUCUCAAGAAAUUUUGGCUCAUCUCAUUCUUGACUACCGUAAGCUGCCCUUCAAAUAUAUCCAGCCCCUCAAAAUUCUCCAAAGGUAGCAUAUGCCUGGUAACUUGGGAUUAGAUUUGGCGUGACAUCCAAAUUAUCAAAUUCAGACACCCCCAGAGUAGGUAUGACUGUAGAAUUUCUGUCUGUAGGCAGUGCAGGAAUACCCAAACUAACUAGAUUCAAACUGGGGUUUGGCUGCUUGUUCUACUUUGCUCUCAUAGGUCCCUCAUACACAAUUCUUUCAUAUAUCAACUUAAUCAAGUCCAGUCCAACUUUUGUUUCCAAUUUGAACAACAUUACAGCCCUUUCAUAAGACAGGUCAGAACGGUGGGUAACGGGAUCAAGUUUAUGGAUUAGAAUUUUGUAUUUUGACAAUAGUCUAGAGGCAGGCGAAUUCUUAAUCUUAUCCGGCCGUUCAUGCCAGAUAAAUCCGAAGCCACAGCAUCUUUGGUAAGUUCCUCAUCACUAGCCUCUACGACUUCAUCUAUCCCCAACCAGUCCUUAAGGACUGAUGGGCUAAAAGUGAUGAACUUCCCCCUCACAUAGGUCCUCCACCUAAAAGAUUUCGAGUCUUGCCAAUAUUUUUGGGAAAGUUUGAAUAAAACUCCUUAACAAUGGUCUCCUUGAAUUUUCCAUCAAAGGUCAACGACUUCUCUAAUCUAUGAAAGCCAACCGGUUCAUCUAAUCAAACUUUCACAAAUUCCCUAGAACCACUUUAUAUUCCUGUAUAAUUUUUCUAUGAGUGGUGAAAGACACAAAGAGUAUCAUUGGUUUCUAAUAGGAAGCAAUAGUUUAAGGGGUUUACAAAGUGCCUACCUCUUGUAAAAGUGUCGAACAUGGAAAGAUCAGGAUCAAGUGCAGGAGUGCGAGGCACAAUUUAUGCUCCACUUCCUGGAUUGGAAGGUGCUGACCGACCGGCUAUAACAGGGGUUUCUGAAUUCUCCCCAACUUUCUGUUUGCCCUUUUCUUCCCUUAUUGCUUUUCUCUUUAGCCAUGAAGUAGUUUCAGAUGAUUCAGUAGAAUCCUCACUAGAAGGCUCAAAUUAUCACGAGCUUUGAAUCCAAAGCAAAUGUUGCAACUACUUAACACCGUUCGAUCUAACUAAAACUGUGAGCCAAACUUUUCAGUCGCAUUAGCAAUUAGUGCAGGGAUUUCUGUGGUUUGGUUUUCCUCAACAUUAGGUUCAGCAGGUGUUGAAACCUCCUAGAGGGUCAAGACUGACCUCUUCUCUGCAGAUUUUUCUGGUUCUUCCUCAUUGUCCUCAGAACCAUAAUAUUUGUCAAUCUCUUCCUCCGUGUCAGUCAUUUGACCCUCAUUCUCAUCAUCAGAUGAUUUACUUUUGUUUUCUCCCAAUUAGUACUUGACUGCUGCGGUAGAAAACAGGUUCAUUCUUCCGUUUGACUGGACGCAAUGUAGCACGAGGAGUAGUCUCCUUAGAGGAUUUAGGUUUGGGGAUUGUUGUAGUAGGCUUACAGGAAAUAAUGGACCUCUUGACAUGACCCAUUCU